GGGGCGAUGGCGGAAUGGUAGACGCAGGGGACUUAAAAUCCCCUGGGGUGAAACCCCGUGUGGGUUCGAGUCCCACUCGCCCCACCA
rnacentral:tRNA from 1 species